rnacentral:rRNA from 1 species
GUACACGCUGUGACUAGCAUAUCAAUAAGCGGAGGAAAAGAAACUAACAAGGAUUCCCUCAGUAACGGCGAGUGAAGCGGGAAGAGCUCAAAUUUGAAAUCUUGAAAGGUCACCUUUCACGAAUUGUAGUUUAAAGAAGUGUUUUCUGUUACAAUCGUAAUAUAAGUUCUUUGGAAUAGGACAUCACAGAGGGUGAGAAUCCCGUCUAUGAUUGCGAUUUGUAGCUUUGUGAUACACUUUCAAAGAGUCGGGUUGUUUGGGAAUGCAGCCCAAAACGGGAGGUAAAUUUCUUCUAAGGCUAAAUAUUGGCGAGAGACCGAUAGCGAACAAGUACCGUGAGGGAAAGAUGAAAAGAACUUUGAAAAGAGAGUUAAAUAGUACGUGAAAUUGUCAAAAGGGAAGCGUUUAACACCAGUGUUGUUUUCUGAAAAUCAACCUCUGUUAGCUUUAUGCAUGUUUGUUUAGACCUAAUCAGCUAUCUUGCAUGUUCUAUUGUUUGCAGUGGUGCACUUUUCAGUUUACAGGUCAACAUCAGUUUUUUUUACCGUAAAAAAGUUAAAGAAAGGUAGCUCAUGGCUCCGGUCGUGAGUGUUAUAGUCUUUUUCCUAUGCGGUAGGAGAGACUGAGGUCUGCAGUGUAGGCUAUUUGGCUAGAUACUCAGGUGCUAUGUGAUACCAUUUCAUAAACAACUUGUUGAUUAUGUUUUGUCUAUUGCAUACUCGCUUGUACUAUCAUACCUACGCUUAGGAUGUUGAGUAGCGACAUACGCAC